AGGACAGAGCAGAGCGAGCAGUAGCAGGCGUAAGAGGAGUUUUAAGAGAAGACUAACUGCAUGUUCUCUGUUUGUGCAGGUAUUGUUUUUUGUGUUUUAUGUGUCUGAUGUUUAAUGUGUUAUAUAAAAUACUGGUAAAUGUUAUAUAUUAUAUAUUAAGUGGAGUUUUUGUAAAGCAUUGGGAAGUUAAAAUAUUCACUAUAUUAAUUAAAAGUUUUAUAAUGACUUAUCUUUUUUCAUUAUGUAAUAUGUUAUAUUUACUGUUUUGUUCUUGCUUGAGUCUGUCGGAGGACAGAGCAGAGCGAGCAGUAGCAGGCGUAAGAGGAGUUUUAAGAGAAGACUAACUGCAUGUUCUCUGUUUGUGCAGCACUUAAAUAAAUGAGACCGCUGAACCUGCA